UACGUAGGGCGCAAGCGUUAUCCGGAAUUAUUGGGCGUAAAGAGCUCGUAGGCGGUUUGUCGCGUCUGCCGUGAAAGUCCGGGGCUUAACCCCGGAUCUGCGGUGGGUACGGGCAGACUAGAGUGCAGUAGGGGAGACUGGAAUUCCUGGUGUAGCGGUGAAAUGCGCAGAUAUCAGGAGGAACACCGAUGGCGAAGGCAGGUCUCUGGGCUGUAA
rnacentral:rRNA from 1 species